AUGGCCUGGACACCACUCUUUCUCCUCUCCUUCCUCCUUCACUGCACAGGGUCCCUCUUUCAGCCUGUUCUGACUCACGCACCUUCAGCAUCUGCCUCCCUGAAAGCCUCAGUAAGGCUUAACUGUACCCUGAGCAGUGGCUACAGUACCUACAAUAUGGAAUGGUACCAGCAGAGCCCAGGAAAAGGCCCCCAGUUUGUGAUGCGUGUGGGUCUCAAUGGUCAGUAUGGAUCUAAGGGAGACGGGAUCCCUGAUCGCUUCUCGGGAUCAGGAUCUGGCCUGGAUUGGUUCCUGAUCAUCCAGAACAUCCAAGCAGAAGAUGAGGCCGACUACUACGGUGGAGCUGACUAUGGCAACUAUGUGUAA